rnacentral:rRNA from 1 species
UGGGAACGUGCCUUUCGGUUCGGGAUAACCCAGGGAAACUUGGGCUAAUACCGGAUACGCCCUUCGGGGGAAAGAUUCAUUGCCGAAAGAUCGGCCCGCGUCGGAUUAGCUAGUUGGUGGGGUAAAAGCCUACCAAGGCGACGAUCCGUAGCUGGUCUGAGAGGAUGACCAGCCACACUGGGACUGAGACACGGCCCAGACUCCUACGGGAGGCAG